CUUUUUUAUUUUAUGGAUUUCUAUAGAGUUGUUUCAUGGGUAAAAAUUUGUGCGAGAUCGAAAAAGAGGUUAAUAUGUCGAUUACAAUCUAGCGAAUCAGACGAAAAUUUUCUGCAGGGCUACAAUAGAUCAAUAGACCCCCUCGCCAAUGAAGGCUGUAAAUCACAGCGAUAUAAAAGAGGGUAUGAAGAAUGCACGAUUUGCAACAACGAUCGUAGCUUUGCUUAUGGAAUGUUUUUAUUUGAUUCAAUUAUUAUGUAUUCAUUAGAUCUAAAUUUCUUUGUAAAUGUCGUAUGACUUUAUUUAUGAAUCAAUUUUAUUUCAAAAAAAAAAAACUCAGAAUUCGCAAAAAUAAAAAAAAACUAACAAAGUUCUUUGCUCCCCCUUCACGUACUGCUCCUCCUUCCCCCUUCACUGCUCCUCCUUCUCCUUCUCCUUCACCUCUCUUCCUUCUCUUGCGCUGCAUCGCACUCCAUUAAUUGUUGCUUUGGUUUGUUCGAAUUUGAGAUCAGCUUUAGGGGAUUUUUAUCAAAGUUUUGAGGUUGAGCCGUUAAGUUAUGUGAGAAUCCUCAGUUUUAUCAAUGAGCUGAAGAGUAGUAGGGGCACUUCUAUAUCAAGAAGAAUAAAUAUGGCCAUUCAACAAAGUCAAGAGCAAACUUCCUCAAGCCAAGAUGUUGCUUUGCAAGCCACAUCAUCUAAGAAGAGGAGUAGGGGGCCAUCAAAAGCAAUACAAUCAAGUAAACAUAUGGUGCUUGAAUUUAAUGAUUUUGACUUGUCUACUGGUGAAUGGGAACCCGUUUAUGGAAAACAAAUUGGUGCAUGUGCUAAGAGAUUAGACAUCACUGUGAAUGAGUAUGCAAAAAUAGAUAAAGUGGAUAGGGAAAAUAUAUGGGAGGAGACAAAGGUAUAAACUAUUCACUUACUAGUUAGUCAUGUUGCUUUUCAAAGUAUUAGUUCACUUUUUUUUAAUCCAUAACUAAUGUUCCACAUUGAGGAUCCAAGUGGAGAAAGGCAAAAAAGGUUUCAUACUAUUGUGGCUUCGCGAUUCAGCUGUCACAAGUCGAAUUUAAGGGCACGAUUCAUCACUUUUAAAAACCUAUACCCGGCCACUUCUCUUGAAGCAAAUAUGAAGCCAUGGGAAGUGUAUGAAGGUUACUUUACAGAGGAGAAAUGGAAGAGAUUCGAAAUAUAUAGUAAAUCAGCAGAAUUCAAGGAAAAGAGUGAAAAGGGGAAAGAAAAUGCAAAGCUAAACAAAUGUUGCCAUCACUUGGGUUGAAACAGUUUUCAAAGAGCUCGGACAAUUUGGAAUAAGCAAAAGAGACUUGAAAAUAGAUUUCCUGCUUUGUCAGAAUCUUCAACUACUGGUAACACUUCCCAGAGCAGUACAUCAACUGGUUCUAUUUUUAAUCGUCGAGCUCUUGAGUGGGUUUUAGCUCAUGAAAAGCGGUUUCCAGAUGGAACAUGGGGCAUCGACCCAAAAGAUACGGAGACUAUUCGAAUUGCCAAUAUAGUUGAAGAGAACUUGGAAAAACAAGCAAAGGAAUCUGAGGAAGGAGAGUAUAAACAAUCAGAACGAGGCGUUGAUGCCCUUACUUUGGCAUUUGGGAAAAAGGACCAUCGUGGAUUUGUGAAAUGACUUGGUGGAUGUGGGAUUGGUGUCGGCUAUAGAAAAUCAUUUGGCCCGGUAAAAGGUAAAAAACAUGUCUAAAAGUGGUUGCUCAUUACAAGAACUAUAUGAAUUUAAAGAGAACUUAACUCGGGAAUUUGAAGAAAAAUUAAAGGAAGGCAUUGCAGCAGUUGUAAAUUCUUAUCUUUCUGACUUCAUACUACACAUGACUGUUAAUGAUUUGGAAGUAAAUGAUGCUCAACCUUCCUUAUCUAACUGAACCAAUCCAACGGAGCUAAGUCCUCGCUUGUUAGAGGUCCCAACUAAAUUUCGUCUUGCUUUAGUUGAUGAGUUCAGUGGGAACUCAGUGAUUAUGGCCGAUGGAACGGCAGAACCUUGUCCUAGUGGAGUGAUUCAUAACAAGAAAAUGAACCGUGACAUCUAUAUAGUUAGUUAGUGAUUAUGACAUCUCACCUAAAUCUCUUAGAAGACUCUGAUGACUGUAUCACCAAGUUGAGUGAGGCAAAAGGUUAUUUUUUAGGGUGACCGGCAGAUUUAGUCUUCUUUACUGAUGAGGUAAUUCAUUGAUAUGCUAUGUAAUGGUCUAAGAUAUUUGUAACUAAAUUAUAUUAAUAUUUAUCUUUUCUUAAAGGUUAUGACUUUAGAAAAAAUGACGGAUAAUGAAUUGGUGCAAACCAAAGAGAAAGUUGAUAGUUGCGGACCUAUCAACUCAGAGCAUUCAACUAUUAAAGGCAAAGGCAUAACUAUUCCGGAAAAUAUUGUUGAGAGUCUUGGUGAACAAUGUUCUAUGUUGUAUUAUUGCAUGACUUCAGGAAGUGGAUAUUAUGAUACUAUGACAAUUCCAUUGAAGGCUCCACUGUUUUAUCAAAAGGAAGACACACAAAUUUAUGUUACUAGUGAUAAUGUCUCUGAAUUACUACGAGGAGCAUGGGCUAAUAUUUCAUUAAUCCAUGUCUACAUAUUGUACUUAAUUGAAGAGCAUAUCUCAUUAUUUCAGAAGACUAAAAUCAAGUUCUUGUGCUCCUAAAAAAUUUCUACAGCUCAAAUCAAGAAAGAUUUCUUUGAAGUCCAAAUGUAUUUGAAAAAUGCUUUUCUUACUGAAUUAAGGAAAAAGGAUGCACAAUGCAAAUUCAUUUUGGCUCCACAUAUGGAAUCGAAUCAUUGGAUACUCUUUGUGAUUGAUUUGCGUAUGACUGUUGUGUAUGAGUUUGAUUCUGUUAUUCAAUCACCUCCGAACGCUCGAAACUCAGAGUUGUCCAAAGUAAUGAAGAUGUUACUACACAACAUUCCUAGUACUACGUAUUCAUAUGCAUGUCACAGCUUAAAGGAAAUUCUUUCAAAACGAGUAAGCCACAAUUACUACACAUAAGAAUGGAGGUGGUUUGUUUACCAUCCCUAAGCCAAUGAGAACAAGUUCGAGUCAUGAAGAAGUCGAAUCUUAGUUCUUUCCUUUCGGAAAUAGCUAUGUAUAUACGUGUAUUAUCCAAGCGAUUAUUGAGAAUCUGAAAAUUUAUUUAUUUGAGAAAAUGAAACAAAAAUUCAGAGAGGGAAUUUUGAAAACUAUUUUUUGUUAGAAACAUAUUAUUUCGAACUAGAAUUCAAAAUUUGAAAAGGGCCCAAUAAUUUAAAUGA